CAGGAUUAGAUACCCUGGUAGUCCACGCCGUAAACGAUGAGUGCUAAGUGUUAGGGGGUUUCCGCCCCUUAGUGCUGCAGCUAACGCAUUAAGCACUCCGCCUGGGGAGUACGACCGCAAGGUUGAAACUCAAAGGAAUUGACGGGGGCCCGCACAAGCGGUGGAGCAUGUGGUUUAAUUCGAAGCAACGCGAAGAACCUUACCAGGUCUUGACAUCCUUUGACCACUCUGGAGACAGAGCUUUCCCUUCGGGGACAAAGUGACAGGUGGUGCAUGGUUGUCGUCAGCUCGUGUCGUGAGAUGUUGGGUUAAGUCCCGCAACGAGCGCAACCCUUGAUUUUAGUUGCCAGCAUUUAGUUGGGCACUCUAAAGUGACUGCCGGUGCAAGCCGGAGGAAGGUGGGGAUGACGUCAAAUCAUCAUGCCCCUUAUGACCUGGGCUACACACGUGCUACAAUGGAUAGUACAAAGGGUCGCGAAGCCGCGAGGUGGAGCUAAUCCCAUAAAACUAUUCUCAGUUCGGAUUGUAGGCUGCAACUCGCCUACAUGAAGCCGGAAUCGCUAGUAAUCGUGGAUCAGCAUGCCACGGUGAAUACGUUCCCGGGCCUUGUACACACCGCCCGUCACACCACGAGAGUUUGUAACACCCGAAGUCGGUAGGGUAACCUUUAUGGAGCCAGCCGCCGAAGGUGGGACAGAUAAUUGGGGUGAAGUCGUAACAAGGUAGCCGUAUCGGAAGGUGCGGCUGGAUCACCUCCUUUCUAAGGAA
rnacentral:rRNA from 1 species